AGCGAACGCUGGCGGCAGGCUUAACACAUGCAAGUCGAACGGGCAUAGCAAUAUGUCAGUGGCAGACGGGUGAGUAACGCGUGGUAACGUACCUUUUGGUUCGGAACAACACAGGGAAACUUGUGCUAAUACCGGAUAAGCCCUUACGGGGAAAGAUUUAUCGCCGAAAGAUCGGCCCGCGUCUGAUUAGCUAGUUGGUAGGGUAAUGGCCUACCAAGGCGACGAUCAGUAGCUGGUCAGAGAGGAUGAUCAGCCACAUUGGGACUGAGACACGGCCCAAAAUCCUACGGGAGGCAGGAGUGGGGAAUAUUGGACAAUGGGGGAAAGCAUGAUGGAGCCAGGCCGCGUGAGUGAUGAAGGCCCUAGGGAUGUAAAGCUCUUUUGUGCGGGAAGAUAAUGACGGUACCGAAAGAAUAAGCCACGGCUAACUUCGUG
rnacentral:rRNA from 1 species